UGUGCUAUAGUAUAGUGGUCAUCACUCGGGAUUUUGAUGACUCUUCCCGAAACCCAGGUUCGAACGCUGGUAGCACCU